rnacentral:rRNA from 1 species
CCUGAGAAACCCAAAAGAUCGAAUGGGGAGAUUCAUCGUCAGCUCAUUUUGUAUAUGUAUAAGUUAUGAUGCGGGUUACUACUUGUAGUAUUGCCUGCACAUUCUUGUAUAUUUAGUUGCAAGAUGUUGUCGGCGUGCACUUCUUCCCUAGUAGGACGUCGCGACCCGUUGGGUGUCGGUCUACGGCCCAAGUGAUAGCCUUUAAUGUAAUUUAAAAAUCAUUGAAGAUCCUUGGUGUUUUCUGACCGGCUACUCGGCGGUACUCGUACGGUAUUUAGCCGCUAAUUUAUUAGCGUCCAUGUCCGUCACAAGCGAGGCCAAUUUACUGAUAGUGCGGACCUAGUGCCGUCGUUGGUAUUGGCCAGCUGUUGGUUGUACGUGAUUCUGGGACUGGCUAAAAUUAAUUACCGGUCGGCGAUGCUACUGCUUUGGGUACUUUCAGG